AGUGAACGCUGGCGGUAGGCCUAACACAUGCAAGUCGAACGGCAGCACAGUAAGAGCUUGCUCUUACGGGUGGCGAGUGGCGGACGGGUGAGGAAUACAUCGGAAUCUACUUUUUCGUGGGGGAUAACGUAGGGAAACUUACGCUAAUACCGCAUACGACCUACGGGUGAAAGCAGGGGAUCUUCGGACCUUGCGCGAUUGAAUGAGCCGAUGUCGGAUUAGCUAGUUGGCGGGGUAAAGGCCCACCAAGGCGACGAUCCGUAGCUAGUCUGAGAGGAUGAUCAGCUACACUGGAACUGAGACACGGUCCAGACUCCUACGGGAGGCAGCAGUGGGGAAUAUUGGACAAUGGGCGCAAGCCUGAUCCAGCCAUACCGCGUGGGUGAAGAAGGCCUUCGGGUUGUAAAGCCCUUUUGUUGGGAAAGAAAAGCAGCAGGUUAAUACCCCGCUGUUCUGACGGUACCCAAAGAAUAAGCACCGGCUAACUUCGUG
rnacentral:rRNA from 1 species